GGGAGAACCCCUCUGGUGUACACUUGUGUUUUGUCUCCCUAGACUAUCUUGUCUUAAUCAAGGCUCUUGCUGGUAAGCGAACCUCGAAUCAAAGGUACAUGGUUGAUAUGUUAGGUCUUGUUGU